AGAGUUUGAUCCUGGCUCAGAACGAACGCUGGCGGCAUGCCUAACACAUGCANGUCGAACGAGAUCUUCGGGUCUAGUGGCGCACGGGUGCGUAACGCGUGGGAAUCUGCCCUUUGGUUCGGAAUAACAGUUGGAAACGACUGCUAAUACCGGAUGAUGACGUAAGUCCAAAGAUUUAUCGCCAGAGGAUGAGCCCGCGUAGGAUUAGCUAGUUGGUGUGGUAAGAGCGCACCAAGGCGACGAUCCUUAGCUGGUCUGAGAGGACGAUCAGCCACACUGGGACUGAGACACGGCCCAGACUCCUACGGGAGGCAGCAGUGGGGAAUAUUGGACAAUGGGGGCAACCCUGAUCCAGCCAUGCCGCGUGAGUGAUGAAGGCCUUCGGGUUGUAAAGCUCUUUUGGCGGGGACGAUGAUGACGGUACCCGCAGAAUAAGCCCCGGCUAACUUCGUGCCAGCAGCCGCGGUAAGACGAAGGGGGCAAGCGUUGUUCGGAAUUACUGGGCGUAAAGCGAGUGUAGGUGGUUGUCAUAGUCAGGUGUGAAAGCCUUGAGCUCAACUCAAGAAAUGCACUUGAUACUGGGCAGCUAGAGGACCGGAGAGGAUAGUGGAAUUCCCAGUGUAGUGGUGAAAUACGUAGAGAUUGGGAAGAACACCAGUGGCGAAGGCGGCUAUCUGGACGGUUUCUGACACUAANACUCGAAAGCGUGGGGAGCAAACAGGA
rnacentral:rRNA from 1 species